rnacentral:rRNA from 1 species
AUGCUUCUACUUUCUGUAUGGAGCUGGGAGCGUCUGCCUGUUGGACGCCCAAAGAGCGUCAGGUUUAAUCCUUGGUAUGAAGAUGAAGAUGACGAAUUACGGCGCCCCACUUGGGCUUACAAGUGGGAUGUGGUUUCCGAGAUGACGAACGAUGUCAAUCUCAUGUACCAAAAGUACGUUGCCAAGUUAGACACGAUUACUGUUGGGGAACGUAGUAAUUUCAAAAAUUUCCUACGCACACACAAGAUCAUGGUGAUGCAUAGCAAUGAGAGGGGAGAGUGUUGUCUACGUACCCUCGUAGACCGAAGCGGAAGCGUUGACGCAACGUAG